rnacentral:misc_RNA from 1 species
GCAGGACCAGCUAAUGAAGGAGGUCAACGUUUCUCAUGAACGGCUCAGAAAACAGUUGCAGUUGUACAAUGAACUUGAGGUGAAGUUCCAAAACGAGAUGAAUCUUCGUAAAAAAGUUGAGACGUCAGCUGCUGCAGCAGAAGAAAAAGCAAGUCUUUUAGAGAGAAAGCUUAGUAGUGUGUCGGAAAGUAUAGAAAGAGAGAA